GGAGUGCUUUUGUCACAUGACAAGCAGUGCGACAUCCACGUAUCUGCUCAAUGGAUAGGAUUGGUAAGCGGCGGGAACUCCUUGUGAUGCCCAUGCGACCCCACCCAUGGUAUCAUCCGCAAUAUGCAUUUCGUUGAGUUGGGCGUUGUUGGUGGUCAAAGCCUCAAAGGCUUCAAAUCUAUGGCAAUGGCCAGGAGAUGAGAGGUCGAAAGGUCAUAUUGGUGGUCUUUUUCUAAGAGGGUAUGAGAUCAAAUCUCAAGCCAUAUAAUCCACAACAAAUUGAGCUUGUCAUAUGGGAGAAGCCUGUAGGCUAUAGCUAGCCCACUUACAACGAUCCACCCCAUAUAUCACUAAAAUUAGUCGAUAAGCUUGAUCAAACUGUUUACGUCUUUGUCUUUAAUACAUACGGAGUAGGACUAUUACCCGCAUUGGAUGUGUAAACAAGCAUAGAAGUGUCG
rnacentral:lncRNA from 1 species